UCUGAAUUAAUGAAUGCCAAUCAAUAACUUUAUUUAUACUCUCUAGAUUAUGUGACCACUUAAUAUAAAACAUUUUAAGUGUUUGAAUGUUGUUUAUAAUUUUGAAAAACUCCCAUUGAUGCUCUUCUGUCACUCUGUGUAACAACAACAUCGGAAUGGGAGCCUACCAAGCUAGUUAGCCUCAAGUUAAAAUGACUUCAAAACAAAGCAUUUUGCUUCAGUUUGUCAGCAGAAGGAGAAAAAGUUCAAAUGCAGCCGUCAUUCUCAAAGCUGCGCUGUGACCCGCGCAAUUAUCCCUAACAGAAACGAGCUCAAGUAGCCGGAUGUGGAUGCUAAUCAGGCCCAAAUCAACAUGCAAGCAGGCGAUUUCUCCGGAGGCAGAGACUUGAAGAAGUAGCCUAACUAACUGGACAUAAUGUGAAGCCCCAGUGACAUAUUUACCAGGAUGAAUGAUGUCCUAUGUACAUGUUAAAUUGUACACUGAUAGUCCAUCACUCUUCGCAACUGUCAAUCGGGUUCUGGCAUGAUAAGAGCAUCAGAGGCGACACAGACUGAGAUUUCUUCAUGUUUUCCCAGAAAAACAAGAGAAAUUACUAAAUUGGACUUAAGUGAAAUCAUUUCAUUGUCGACCCCUAGUGAUCACAGCUGUUAAACAGCAUCGUGGAGUUCCUGGAGGAGGUUGAUGCAGCUCUCUGGGAAAAGGUGUCAUGUACCUCACAGACCUUUUGGGAAAGAUUAAAAAAGUCACGUUAAAGCUCCAGGGAAAAGGUGUUACUCUGGUCCAGUGCAAGAUGGUCACCCACAGUCUCACCUCCAGACUGCAUCUGUACAGGCAGAGCACAGGCAAGAGGCAGUUUGCUUAUUUUGUAGUGUGUCAUUAUGUGUAAUAUGUUGUAAUGUUUAUUGCAUUGACUUGUAUAGUAUAGUAAAUAUAGGUCUAUAUAAGUAAUAAUCCAAUAAUUAGCAAUAAAAUAACCACUUAAUCUGUGAGGAUCGUCUAAAAAUCUGUACGGAGAACAAUAUGUUUCUUGUACUCAUUGCAGAUGUCUCUUACGAUCACGUCUCAUUUACACUGACCACCUGAGGACAGUUAAGGCUGACAGAUCCGCUUCAGGAAGUUUCCCAUCUGGGUGGUGCAGGCCUUUCAGGCGGAUAUGACUGCUGAAACUUAUUUUCUCUGAAUCCCACAGUGAACCACCAAUCACAUGGCUCGCACUAACUUCCAAAGCAAAUUAGCUCAUUUUCUUUAAAAGAAAAGAUUUUUUCCCAGUAACCUCAGACUGCUUCUUUUGUAAACCACUCUUGUUUGGCAUUUCUGAUUGGCUGCUAUUUGUGAUCAACACCUAAUAAAAUUUUGAAAGUCA